UGAGGAGCAGACGUGGAGAGCUGAAGACCCGGGCCGGGAGCAGGGCUUGCCAGGGUCCAUUGUACUCACGCUGGGGGGCUGAAGACCUUCUUGUACUGGUUCUGUUUAUCAGCCAAACUUUAGCUGACCUUUGGACUUGCUCCAGGACACAGCAGUUCCCAGGAUGGCGCUCUGCGGCCGCGAGGUCACCGCAGCACUGGUGGGAGCAGACGCCCACCAAGCCGCUGAGGGAAUGAAGUUUUUUUCCACCGGUCAGGAAUGAAACCGGAACCGUUCAGCUUUGUGGGAGUUUCACCUGCAUCUCCCCAGGGCGCCGAGGGGGGAAAGGAAGGAGGCCUGCGGCGCACCUGGACGUGCGGGCUGGUUCUGACCUGCAGAAGAACAGGGCAAGGGGCUUUUUAGGAUCCACCGUUCACAGACCCAUAGGCAGACGACACCCCCUGACCCUCUCUAAGCCUCAGUUCCUCAUCCGAGAAAUACUGCAGCGGACAGUGCAGGGGGAGGGGUGGUGCAUACAUUGAAUGAGACCACCUGUGAACCCCUUGGUCUAAUAAUUGGUGUUCACACUUUUCAGCCUGGAAAGGGAAGGAAGCCAGUUCCCAGUAGGAAAAUCUAACCCCUUUGGGGGCUUAGUGUUCUCAGAAUCGGGCAGAUCCAGCACUGAGGUUGGAGGGACUGGGAGAUUAGGGACAAAAAUUCAGAAUCAGCAGGGAAUUUGCAAAGGGGCUUCUAACCAAAAUCUCCUACCAUUCCCACCUUUAAAAGGCAGGAGGAAGUUGGGACUAGUUCUGGGAAAUGUGGAAUUUCAGCAAGGGGGAGGAAGGAUCAGCGGCUCUCAUCUGCUUCAUUCUGGAUCAAAUCUCUUAGGUGUGCUAGAGCUGAAGCUUCAGGGGCGACUGAUCCAAGUUUGACUGCUAAGAGUGAGGCUGCCUCUUAAACACGGGGUCUGCUGGGGAUGCCUGGGACACGUGCCGGGAGCCAGAAGGAAGGGGGUGAUGGUGUGCAUGGAGUGUAUGGAGCCUUCCGGGAAGUUUACAGUGUCUCAGGCUCUUCCCUUGAGAAAGGGUUAAUAAGUUCAUGGAAACGAGGGUCCUUCAUUUCACCCUAUUGUCUUUUAGUUUGUUGUGACAUAUGGCAGGUCCUUGCCCCUCACAAUUCGGCCCAAUGGGAGAACAUUCUCUGCCUACCGAGAUCCCCUCAGCCAGGAUAAUGAAGUGUUCAGAGUAAAUGUCCCUGGAGAACAAUCUCUUUUUCUCUGUGUCUCACUUGCUAUCAUGAUAGAAGCAGUCAAGUGUAAUUGAAGAUCAGUUUCUGUGUUCGGCUGGGAAAACCCAUUAAAAAACCAGCAAUCACUUCCCUUUUAACAACAAAGCUUUGAUUUGUAGUUCUAACUACCAUGUGCCCAGUCUGACUCAAGUUUUCUUAUCUCUCAAAAUUCAGGUGGUAGCAAACCCAUUCUUUCCCCUCUACCCCAGGCCAAUGAUGUGAACGUAGGGGAAGUUUCACUUUCAGAGGGAAACUUCCUAUGAGUGUCCAGGUAUGCCUUUCAGUCAACCUGACUCUUCACGUCCAGCAACUUCCUGUAAUCCUCCUGCUCAUUCCUACCUUGGAUACGAUACCUGGUGUAAUAUGGGUGCUCAGUAAGUAACAGCAACUAUAGCUCUGUGAGCAGAUCCAAUACCUACCUCUUCAUAUGGACAUUUAAAAGGAAAAGUGUAAUGAUCUCAGCAGACAGUUCUUCAGGAUGUGGGUCAUAAAUGCUAAUUCAAUGAGUUAUCUCUUAAAACCCUUUGGUGAAACUUCCCCCAAAUAGGGGAAACAAGAGUACAGUUGAAAUACUUUGUACUUAUGCUUCACACGGGAUACAAUGGUGAUGAACUGAUAUAGUAGCCUCCUUUUAAAGGUGGGAAAAUAAACCAUAAGACACUUUAUUUUUUUAAAUUUUUUUUAACGUUUAUUUUACUUUUGAGACAGAGACGGAGCAUGAACGGGGGAGGGGCAGAGAGAGAGGGAGACACAGAAUCUGAAGCAGGCUCCAGGCUCUGAGCCAUCAGCCCAGAGCCCGACGCGGGGCUCGAACUCACGGUCCAUGAGAUUGUGACCUGAGCCGAAGUCGGACGCUCAACCGACUGAGCCACCCAGGCGCCCCCAUAAGACACUUUAAAGGAGGUGGCUUGCAGCUCUUGGAGUAAAUGAGGGGCUGGGAUUGGGGCUCAGGACUUUUGAGCAGGGUUAAAAGAGGAAAGUCUCCAGUUUUUACUGCUUUGGGAGAUGGGAAGUUGAAACAGCAGAAGUGAAGGAUCCACGACAGAGAAAUAGAGGGUAGAUGUUGAAAUCAAACAGACCUCAGUUUGGGUCUCAGAUCUGCUUAACCAGCGGUGUGACUUCGGCAUAGUGCAUCAUCACUCUGACCCUCAGAUUCCUUAUGUGAAAAAUGAUAAUAAUAUGCCCUACUGGGUUUUUGUGUGAGGGUUAAAUGAGUUAGUAAUCGUGAGUUCCCAGAGGAUGACCGGCUCCCACACGUUGAGAAAGAAGCAGAGCUAUAGGUCAUGAAAACAUGCAAACAAGUGAGGCAGCUGAUCUCUUUGAUAUUGUUCAUUCCUAGCUUAUUUUUUUUAAUAGUCACUGUAUUUAAAGAGAUCAUACUAAGUUCUUCUACUCAAAAAAUGCACCUGCAGGUUAAAUCACAAGAUUUGCUAUAGGAAGUGCAGGCCCUGGUGUAAGGUCAUUUAAAAUUCAAUUGGCUCAUUACUGGAUGAAGGCCUUUGGAGCACCAUGUUGGAAAUUUCACAGGAUGGCAAACGUAGUUCCAGUGGAUUCAACUCUCCUGUGACUUCAUAGCAUAAGUGAUUUUCCUUUUCUGCUCUUGGGCACACCAUCUUCCCCCUACUUUCCAUGGCUACCCUCCUUUGCUUAUAGCAGAGAGAGCCUGGUCCUCUACCUCCUGCCACUCCCACUCUCCAAGGCUCUCCCAUUGAUUUGGCAGUCCCUAGAAGGCAUCAAAACGAAAUCUUCUCUAGAGUAAAACAUAAAUACUGUUCUAUCCUGCUCCGAAGCAGGGGAGGGUCUUACCAUUAGCACAGUCCGUAGCCUAGAGAACUUUCUGCACUGCAGGGUUAGAGUCUGAGGUUCCAGCUCUGGAUACAAUACUCCUUUCUGGAGGACUCUUUCACCUUCCCAAGGGCUUUGGUGAGCAUCCUUCUCUGAGCCUCUGAUUCUGCUCUUUGAAAAAUAAAUCUUCUAUGAUUUGACAUUUCUAAAUGGUUCCAUAUUACCAGGCUGUCUGUUUCCAGGCCUUUGGGCAGAUGGCUUAAGAGCUCAGACUGGACUUCUGUGUAAUGCCGGCCACGGGGCUUUUGAGCAGCUCUCGAAAAAGUACACCAUAGACAGGAGACUCCAUGAGGGCAGGAACUGUCUCAAGUCCUCCUCUUCAAUGCCUGGAGAGAUGGCUGAUACAUAGCACAUGCUCAAUAAAAUAGCUGUUGAACAAAGGAACAAGAGAUCAUCUCUGGAUGCCGCCACUAAGGAAGAUUUUUGUUGCUUUAUGUGUACUGCUCAAUUUCCCAAAUUGUCAGCAAUUAAGUUGUGGUUUAAUGUUUAUUUUUGAGAGACAGAGUGCAAGCGGGGAGGGGCAGAGAGAAAGGGAGACACAGAAUCCGAAGCAGGAUCCAGGCUCUGAGCUGUCGGCACAGAGCCUGACACGGGGCUCGAACCUAUGAACCAUGAGAUCAUGACCUGAGCAUAAGUCAGAUGCUCAACAGACUGAGUCACCCAGAUGCCCCUGUGUGGCUGUGUUCUGAUGAAACUAUUUAUAAAAACAACUGGCUGGCUGGAAUUGGCCUAUGGGCCACAGUUUCUCAACCCUUGGGUAAAGCACUUACACAGGUAGAAAUCCAGAGAUCUGAAGAGAUCUUGUAGUCAUCCCAUAUCACAGUGUAUUUUCAGGUUGGGGAAGCGGAUAUAGGAAGGAGAAAUGCCUUUCCCAAGAGAUACAGAACAUUGCACUAGAGAAAUCCUAGCAUUGGAGCCAAACAAACCAGCUGCUUCUGGGGGGUGGGGUGGGGGUGGGUAUGGCUAUGGCUUUGUGCAAGUUACUUAAUUUCUUUGAGUCUUUGUAUAUAUCAUCACCACAUGUAGUUGGUGAUAAUAAUGGAAUUUAUCCCUUAUAGGGUUAAUAGAAGAAUUAAAUUCGAUAACACAGGAGAACAUCUUGUUAUGCGGGCUGGCCAGAGUAGGGCUUACCUACAACUAAGUUGCUUCCUCAAUCACAGGACGUGGCUCAGGGACUCCCUCCCUCCCUCCCCGUCUCCCCCACUGCCUCUCUAAAUGGAGAGCUUCUGGAUUGAGUUCACUGACAAAUACUACCAAGCGUCUGCUAUGUGUGAAGUCCUUUGACGGGAGAGCUGUGAGCUAAUAACGAAUGAAUACAGGAAAAUCUCAAAUCCCACCAACCCCAGGCCUCAGCUUUCUUUCUAGAAACCCCUUCCCACUCUGUGCUUCUAUUUCCCAAACAUGCUGCUAUCAGAUGAUCUUCGCUGGGGAAACUCCUAGGGGUAGCAGAGAUUUCUCUCAUUUCGAUUCAACAACCCACAUCCUUCUCCUGGGUCAUUUUUAGAAAUAGGGUGUUCCCAGUAGCUUGUAAAAGAUUAAAUUAAAAACUAGCAACCUAGUACGAUAUUAAACUAAUAAAUACUA